CCUACGGGUGGCAGCAGUGAGGAAUAUUGGUCAAUGGACGAGAGUCUGAACCAGCCAAGUAGCGUGAAGGAUGACUGCCCUAUGGGUUGUAAACUUCUUUUAUAUGGGAAUAAAACAGGGUAUGCAUACCCUCUUGUAUGUACCAUAUGAAUAAGGAUCGGCUAACUCCGUGCCAGCAGCCGCGGUAAUACGGAGGAGGCGAGCGUUAUCCGGAAUGACUGGGCGUAAAGGGUGCGUAGGUGGUUUGGCAAGUUAGUAGCGUAACUCCAAGGCUCAACCUUGGAACUACUACUAAAACUGUUGGACUUGAGUGCAGGAGGGGCAACCGGAAUUCCUAGUGUAGCGGUGGAAUGCGUAGAUAUUAGGAGGAACACCAGUGGCGAAGGCGGGUUGCUAGACUGUAACUGACACUGAGGCACGAAAGCGUGGGGAGCAAACAGGAUUAGAUACCCCAGUAGUC
rnacentral:rRNA from 1 species